rnacentral:misc_RNA from 1 species
AGAGAUGAGCCGAAGCAAUGCUCGCGUUACGCCGGGCUCCGUCAGGGCUGCGAACGGCAGCGCCCACCUGGGCAACCACGUGCUCGUGUGGGAGCAGCACGCAUUGGAGGACGUCGCGCAGCCCCGAGCAUGCGUCGGCGCGCGACACAUGGUUACGUUCAUGCUCUUCUUGGGCAUGGCGAACGCAUACGUGAUGCGGACCAACAUGUCGGUGGCAAUCGUCGCCAUGGUGAAUCACACUGCCCUGCCUAAGGAGAAUACGACUGAGGACGACGAGUGCCUUCCGUCAGGAACAUCGGCCAAGCUGGGCACACUGUGGGACGCACAGAUAGCACCCGCCGCUGAUGAUGACUACCAACUGGAACCAUCAUCAAGAUCUGCUUCUGAGGGCUCUUUUGUUUGGGACACAACACUGCAAGGAUACAUCCUCAGCAGUUUCUUCUAUGGUUAUGUUAUUACACAGAUUCCAUUUGGACUACUGUCCAAGAAAUAUGGUGCCAAGUUGUUCUUGGGUGUUGGAAUGUUGAUCAACUCUGUUUUUGGACUAUUGGUGCCAGUGGCAGCAAGACAUGGUUAUGAAUGGCUCAUUGCAGUGAGAUUUAUUCAAGGUUUGGGAGAGGGCCCCAUUGUACCAUGCACACAUGCCCUGCUUGCGAAAUGGAUUCCGCCUAACGAGAGGAGUCGUAUGGGUGCUUUUGUAUAUGCAGGCGCACAGUUUGGUACAGUAGUAUCUAUGCCUCUCAGUGGUUUGCUCUCUGAAUAUGGAUUCGAUGGUGGUUGGCCAUCGAUUUUCUACGUUUUUGGUGCUGUGGGUACAAUAUGGUCUGUUGCUUUUCUAAUCAUGGUUUAUGAAGACCCUGAUGUCCACCCUCGCAUAGCUGAAGAUGAGAAGAAAUACAUCACACACACUGUAUGGGGCUCUGCAGGUGUCUCUUCUCCUCCAGUUCCCUGGAAAAGCAUAAUAAAGUCUCUACCAUUCUGGGCAAUUCUUAUUGCACACAUGGGGCAAAAUUAUGGAUAUGAAACACUGAUGACAGAACUUCCAACAUUCAUGAAACAAGUGCUGCACUUUGACAUAAAAGAGAAUGGAACUCUUUCUGCACUCCCAUACCUUGCAAUGUGGAUAUUUUCAAUUGUUGCUAGUCAUGCAGCGGACUGGAUGAUUUCCAGCCGGCGAUUUACUCAUGGAGUAACAAGAAAGAUAGUAAAUAGCAUUGGUCAGUAUGGACCUGCAGUCGCUUUAAUAGCAGCAUCAUACACAGGCUGUGAUCCAACACUUACAGUAGCACUGUUAACUAUUGGUGUUGGUCUUAAUGGAGGUAUUUAUUCCGGAUUCAAGGUGAAUCACCUUGACAUUUCACCACGUUUUGCUGGUAUUCUUAUGAGUUUCACCAACUGUUUGGCAAACUUGGCUGGCCUUUUAGCUCCAAUAGCAGCAGGCUACAUAAUCCAUGGAAGGCCAACACAAGCAGCUUGGAGAGUUGUCUUCAUGAUUGCAUCUGGUGUGUAUAUAGUAUGUGCGACAGUGUACCUGAUAUUUGGAUCUGGUGUGAGGCAACACUGGGAUGACCCCAGCAAUGACAGCCCUCCUAAAAACAAGAAUACUGAUGUGGAAAAAGACUGCGUACCGAUGGAGAGCACGCACCAUUGAUUGUUGCAGCUUUGUAAUGUGUUGGUGUGUGUCUUUUUUUGUAUGUUCAAUGAGAGAGAGAGAGAGAGAGAGAGAGAGAGAGAGAGAAUAUGACUGAGCAGCUACAUCAGCUUCUUCACUCCCAAAUUUGUAUAUUUUGAAAUAUUAAAUUAUGAGUGUUUUUUUUAUGUCUGUCACUAGUUGCAAAAGAAUGUAUAAAAGAUGGCAAAAAGAGUUCUAUGUCUUUUAGUAUUUAUUUAAACCCUGAGAUUAAAUUAUCUUACACAGAAUCUUGUCCAAAUCAGUGAUUUUCUGUAUGGUGUGUGUAUGAAAAAUAAAACCCACAUUUAUGCCGACAGUAGAUCUUGCUAUUUGCUGUUGGAAAUUUGGUGUGCUUCCAAUUCCCUAAUAAAUUUUUCAUUAUAAAACAGUUACAAAUUAUUUGGAUAGUAUUAUAACAUUAAAUAACAGUCCAGUAUUUAACCCAUUAGUAGAUCUGUGGGCUACUUCUCAUAAAACAUGAGAUACUCCAAGAAUGAAUGAGGCAAAGACAUCCAUAGAAAUCACAUUUUAUAAAUUACUGUAACAUAUAGUAAUUUUUAAAUAGUGUUGUUAUGUGUCUAUACCUAGACAAGUAAUAGAAAUUUCUAAAGUUUCUAUAAGAUAGGCUUAGAUUUUGUUUCACUAUCUGCCAUGAAACUUCACUUUUCAAUGUGUAUUUGAGAAAGAAAUUGUAUGUUUUUUAAAUGCUAUGCAUUUGUACACAUCAGUCUGUAACCAGUAUUAAAUAUUUGUUACUGGUUAAA